AGUAAUUGAAAUAGGAAAAGUAGGACAGUAAAUAAAAUAAGGAAAAUAGGACAGUAAAUGAUGUAGGAAAAAUAGGACAUUAAAAUGAAAUAGGAAAGAUAGGAGAGUAAUUAAGGUAGGAAAGAUAGGACAGUAAUUUGAUUAGAAAAGUAGGACAGUAAUUGAAAUAGGAAAAGUAGGACAGUAAAUAAAAUAAGGAAAAUAGGAAUUAAAAUGAAAUAGGAAAGAUAAGAAAAUAAUUGAGGUAGGAAAGAUAGUACAGUAACUGGAUUAGGAAGAGUAAGACAGUUAUUGAAGUAGGUAAAAUAGGACACUAAACGAUGUAGGGGAAAUAGGACAUAAAAUGAAAUAGGAAAGAUAGGAGAGUAAUUUAGGUAGGAAAGAUAGGGUUUUUACUUGAUUAGGAAAAGUAGGACAGUAAUUGAAAUAGGAAAAGUAGGACAGUAAAUAAAAUAAGGAAAAUAGGAAUUAAAAUGAAAUAGGAAUGAUAAGAGAGUAAUUUAGGUAGGAAAGAUAGGACAGUAAUUUGAUUAGGAAAAAUAGGACAGUAAUUGAAAUAGGAAAAGUAGGACUGUAAAUAAAAUAAGGAUAAUAGGAUAGUAAAUGAUGUAGGGAAAAUAGGACAUCAAAUGAAAUAGGAAAGAUAGGACAUAUAAACUGGAUUAGGACAAGUAAGACAGUAAUUAAAGUAGGAAAAGUAAGAGAGUAAUUGAAAUUGGAAACAGAACAUUAAAUGAAAUAGGGGAAAAGGAGAUCAGUAAAUGAAAUAGAUAAGAUAGGAAAGUAAUUUAAGUAGAGAAAUAGGAUGAGGAAAAUGGGACAAUAUAUAGUGUAGGGAAAUUAGGAUAUAAAAUGAAAUAGGAAAUAUAGGAGAGUAAUUGAGAUAGGAAAGAUAGGGUUGUAACUGGAUUAGGAAAAGUAGGACAGUAAAUAAGAUAAGGAAAAUAGGACAUUAAAUGAAAUAGGAAAGAUAGAGUAAUUGAGGUAGGAAAAUAGGAUAGUAAAUGAUGUAGGAAAAAUAAGACAUUAGAUAGAACAGAAAAGUAAUAGAGAAAAUAGGAUGGUAAUUAGAAUAGAAAAGAUAGAACAGUCAACGAAAUAAAGAAAAUAGGGAAGUAAUUAAACUAGAAAAGAUAGAACAGUCAACGAAAUUGGGAAAAUAAGGUAGUAAUUGAAGCACAGUAAAUGUAGUAGGGAACAUAGGCUAGUAAUUAGAGUAUGGAAGAUAGGACAGUAAACGUAAUAGGGAAAAUAGGGUAGUAAUUGAAGUAGGAAUAGUAGGUGAAUGAGGGGAAAUAAGAGAGGAAUCGAAAUAGAAAAAUAUGAUAGGAAACGAAUUGGGGAAGGUCAGUGAACGAAGUGGGAAAUAAAGGACAGUAAUUGAAAUAGUAAAAAUAGGAUUGAAGGGAGAUGGGACAGUAAACGAAAUAGGAAAGAAUACUACGUUACAUUUUUAAAAAUCGUACAUUAAAUAAAAUAGUAUAGUUCUUAGGAUACUACGUUGCAUUAAAUAGUACAUUAAAUAAAAAGUGCACAUGUUGAAAUAUUAUGUUACAUUAAUUAGUACAUCAAAUGACACAGUUAAUAGAAUGGAAUAGUUCAUGAGAUAUUACGUUACAUAAAAUAAUACGGGAAAUAAAAGAGUAUAGUUCAUAAGAUAUUACGUUACAUUAAAUAGUACCAUAAAUAGAAUAGUUCAUAAGAUGUUACAUUAGAUGUUUUAUUAGAUAAUAUAGUAGAGCAAUUAAAAUGCGAUAGUUUAUAAAAUAUUUUGUGCCAUCAAAUAGUAGAGAAAGUGACGUUCAUAGAAUCUUACGUUUCCUCAAAUAAUACAGUAAAUAAAGUAGUAUUUCAGAACAUAUAAUUAAUAUAAUCCAAAAGUACAGUAAAUAAAAUUGAAUAGUUCAUAAAAUACGAUGCUAUAUCAAAUAGUAUCAUUAACAAAAUAGAGUGUGUAAGAUAAAUAAAUUAUUAUAUUUCAUAAGAUAUGUUGCAUAAAAUAGUACAGUAAACAACGAGAGAUAUUUUCUUAAUUAAGCAUUAAUAGCGGCCUUUUUACUCAAUCACUGGUAGCCCUAAACGCUACAAGUGAUUGAGCGCUCUUUUUUUUUUUUUUUUUUUUUUAGAGAGACGUGUCCAUCGGGUGGCUAUAUGGACACACUUGAAGAUGAUACUUUGGAAAUGGUUCCAUCACAUGGAAAAGGGUAAUGGAAUGAAACAUUGCAUGAAAGGUGAAGAUAACGAACAGUGACCUAUCUUCAUAAGUCCUAUACCCAAAUACAAAAACAUGCGACUCAGGUGAGCGAUGUGGACCAUGACCCUCUUGUUGAAGUAUGAAAUAAACCUUGAGCCUCUUGACACUGACAUGUAUUUCAUAGAGCAUUAACAUCCUUCACUGAAUUUGCUUAAGUGGAGAGGCUUGAGGUUUAUCAUGAAAAGGUGAAGAUAACGAAGACUGAUCAAUCUGAUAUACCUUGAAAAACUUCAAACAUUUGCUGAAUAAAUGAAAUCAAGAUAAGUAUUAAUUGUUGUCUUUUUUUACUCCAUCACUGGUAGCCCUAGACGCUACCAGUGAUCGAGUAUUUUUUUCCAGAGAGACGUGUCCAUUGGGUGACGAUAUGGACGCACUUGAAGAUGAUACUUUGGAAAUGUAAUGAAUCACAUGAAAAAAGAGAGACGUGUCCAUUGGUUGACGAUAUGGACACACUUGAAGAUGAUACUUUGGAAAUGGUUCCAUCACAUGGAAAAAGUCAGCCAAGGAGGUUGAACAAAUGUGAGGACGGGUCACUGCAAUGGGACAUUUCCCCCGUUGGAUCACAGUUCCACAUGCAGGCGGAGAAAGAAAAUUUAAUUUGAGAAAAAAAAUAAUAAAUUUGUAAUUCUUUUC